rnacentral:rRNA from 1 species
UACGAAGGGGGCUAGCGUUGUUCGGAUUUAUUGGGCGUAAAGAGCUCGUAGGCGGUUUGUCGCGUCGGCCGUGAAAUCUCCACGCUUAACGUGGAGCGUGCGGUCGAUACGGGCAGACUUGAGUUCGGUAGGGGAGACUGGAAUUCCUGGUGUAGCGGUGAAAUGCGCAGAUAUCAGGAGGAACACCGGUGGCGAAGGCGGGUCUCUGGGCCGAUACUGACGCUGAGGAGCGAAAGCGUGGGGAGCGAACAGG